rnacentral:tRNA from 1 species
AGGGGUGUGGCUCAGAGGUAGAGCACUCACCUAGCAUGCGUGAGGCACUGGGUUCAAUCCUCAGCACCACAU